rnacentral:lncRNA from 1 species
AGGGUGGUGUACUGGAGCCAGGCCCUUUCUGCCUAAGCAGGACACUCAAAGAGGCAGUCUUUGCCCUGCAGCCCUCCACUGGCCCAGCCAACACUCUCUCAGAGCUUAGACAUCUGCUUCUCAGAGCACCCAAACUGACAGGGUGUAUCCAGUAUAUUUGAUUCUGAAGCUAGAGAGACCCAGCUGGCCAUACACAUUGGGGAAUCAUUGACAGAUGGCAGCUGAGAUCUGAGAGCGGUUGACCUCACUUCACAAGGUUGAGUGGAAUUAGGAGGGACAAACUUCUGUGACAGGAGCCUGAGGAGCACCAAACAACUUGCAACUUAUGUUUCCCUUUUAAUCACAAAGCUGAAGAAU